ACCAGUCCCAGCAUGCGCCGAGUCUUUUUUUUUUUUUUUCCGUUGAGCUCAGAACUGUCUGGUGUUCUCUUGCGCCUUAGCAGUGCCUAGCUCCUGAUUUACGGCUGUGGGCUCAGAGGCGGCGAAAGAACUGGCAUUCAUCUCCCUUGCUACUAAGCCCUAUACUAAGCGUAGCAGAUGGCUCAUGGGACUUUAAGGAAGGGUGGAUAGGGAACAAAACUCUACGAGAGUGUCAGUUGGUCCCAGCUCCUUGGUUUGCGUCUGGGCUGCGCUCCUGGGGCUCAAGGCCUAAUUCCAGCUCGCUUCCAGCAAGGA